CCUACGGGGGGCAGCAGUAGGGAAUCUUCCACAAUGGGCGAAAGCCUGAUGGAGCAACGCCGCGUGGGUGAAGACGGUCUUCGGAUCGUAAAACCCUGUUGUUAGAGAAGCAAGUGCGUGAGCGUAACUGUUCACGUUUCUGCGGUAUCUAACCAGAACGCCACGGCUAACUACGUGCCAGCAGCCGCGGGAAUACGUAGGUGGCAAGCGUUCUCCGGAUUUAUUGGGCGUAAAGGGAACGCAGGCGGGCUUUUAAGUCUGAUGUGAAAGCCUUCGGCUUAACCGGAGUAGUGCAUUGGAAACUGGGAGACUUGAGUUCAGAAGAGGAGAGUGGAACACCAUGUGUAGCGGUGAAAUGCGUAGAUAUAUGGAAGAACACCAGAGGCGAAAGCGGCUCUCUGGUCUGUAACUGACGCUGAGGUGCGAAAGCGUGGGUAGCAAACAGGAUUAGAUACCCUUGUAGUC
rnacentral:rRNA from 1 species